AUUGAACGCUGGCGGAUGCUUUACACAUGCAAGUCGAGCGGCAGCACGGGGCAACCUGGCGGCGAGCGGCGAACGGGUGAGUAAUACAUCGGAACAUGCCCAGACGUGGGGGAUAGCCCGGCGAAAGCCGGAUUAAUACCGCAUGAGAUCUAAGGAUGAAAGCAGGGGACCUUCGGGCCUUGCGCGUUUGGAGCGGCCGAUGGCAGAUUAGGUAGUUGGUGAGGUAAAGGCUUACCAAGCCUGCGAUCUGUAGCUGGUCUGAGAGGAUGAUCAGCCACACUGGGACUGAGACACGGCCCAGACUCCUACGGGAGGCAGCAGUGGGGAAUUUUGGACAAUGGGCGCAAGCCUGAUCCAGCCAUUCCGCGUGCAGGAUGAAGGCCCUCGGGUUGUAAACUGCUUUGUACAGAACGAAAAAGGCCUGGCUAAUAUCUGGGUCUCAUGACGGUACUGUAAGA
rnacentral:rRNA from 1 species